GAUGAAGAACGUAGCGAAAUGCGAUAAGUAAUGUGAAUUGCAGAAUUCAGUGAAUCAUCGAAUCUUUGAACGCACCUUGCGCCCUUUGGCCAUUCCGAAGGGCAUGCCUGUUUGAGUAUCAUGAACACCUCAACUCUUCAUAGUUUUCCAUGAUGAGCUUGGACUUUGGGGGUCUUGCUGGCCUGUGGGUCGGCUCCUCUCAAAUGAAUCAGCUUGCCGGUUUUUGGUGGGCAUCACAGGUGUGAUAACUAUCUACGCUUGUGGUUUUCCACCAGGGUAACCUUCAGCAGUGGAGGUUCACUGGAGCUUACAAAUGUCUCUCCUCUGUGAGGACAGCCCUUUGAAUGUUUGAUCUCAAAUCAGGUAGGACUACCCGCUGAACUUAAGCAUAUCAACAAGCGGAGGA
rnacentral:misc_RNA from 1 species